rnacentral:lncRNA from 10 species
CUUUUAUCAAGAGAGAAGACCGUGAGACAACCACAACCCGCCAUGCUUAUCUCGUGGAGUAGCUGGGAUUGUGAAGAUGGCAUGAUCCGAAGGUAAACACAGGGUUUAUCAACACCCCUGCAGCAUCGUGGAGAGAGAGAGAAUGUAGGAAACACGCAGUGGCGACUGACGCGGAUCUCCUGUGUGAAAGAGGAGCAGAGCCAGGAGGCCAGGCAGACGGCAACUGAGGAUGCAGAAGCAGCUAAUCACAUGAGCCUGCAUGGACAGAGAGAUUCAUUACAGCACGACUGACACUCACAGGCUUCCUCGACCACCAGAAGACAACAGUCACGACUUCACCUGCUUAUCAUGAAAGCUCCAUGUGAGAACAAUGUGAGGAUGCCAGUGAAGGGCAUUUGCAAAACAAAGGGAUUCACGAAUCGGGUCCAUCACCAGCGAUCGCCCCUACCCUCACCGGUGCCCUGGGAACUACAAAAGAAUUCACAGGGCAUCCAAAUCACCAUCAGUUCCUGAGGACUGAACUGUCUGCUGCUCCAACCUCUUCCAGUCAUCAUCUACAACUGAUCUUUUAAAAAUGAUCUUCAAUUACCUUUUUAUCAAACAGAUGCAUUUUAGGAAAUCAAAGAGUAUUAUCAAGUCUCACAUGAAAAACAGUAGCUACCUGGCACUUACAUUCAUAAACAUGGACUUACCACAUGACUUCCUGAAUUGUCCUUUUUAGACACCACCCCUUACGCCACUGUGGUCAUCAACAUCAGCGUCCGCAGUGUGCUACAAAUACCGUUCUAUCUUACGCUUUUCAAUGAUUCUGGAGUUAAUAUUUUAUCUAUUUUCCACUAUCUUGGCUUACAAUGUACCUAUUGCCAAUCCUUUCACAAUUCUCCAGCAGAACUGAAAAACUCUUUCCCAUACCUUCCUGCCCACGAUCAAACACUGACAACCUGGUGAGAAUCUGUUCAAUUUUCCUGGAAGUCCUCUUGGAGCCCCCGCCCCAGUCCCAAACGUGCUACCGUCACUGGGCCACGCCUUUCUUCCCGCUGGCUGUG